rnacentral:rRNA from 1 species
GACAGAGGGUGCAAACGUUGUUCGGAAUUACUGGGCGUAAAGCGUGUGUAGGCGGCUGUUCAAGUCGGGUGUGAAAGCCCCGGGCUCAACCCGGGAAGUGCACUCGAUACUGGAUGGCUUGAGUCUUGGAGAGGUUGGUGGAAUUCUCGGUGUAGAGGUGAAAUUCGUAGAUAUCGAGAGGAACAUCGGUGGCGAAGGCGGCCAACUGGACAAAGACUGACGCUGAGACACGAAAGCGUGGGGAGCAAACAGG